CAGGAGAGAACAUCAGUAAUUCUCAUUCAGGAGAGAACAUAAUUAAUUCCUCUGCAGGUAACACAGAGUCCUGCAGACUGAGCUCCUGGGUGUGGGCAGUGCUGGGAGUCCUCUCUGUGCUCCUAAUCUGCAGUGUG